AACAUCGCGCACCUGCGGGAACCUGCGGACGGAUCAUUACAGAGUUGCAAAACUCCCUAAACCAUUGUGAACGUUACCUAAACCGUUGCUUCGGCGGGCGGCCCGGGUCCUUCCCGGCGCCCAUCGGCCCUCGCGGGCGCCCGCCGGAGGUAAACCAAACUAUUGCAUUGUAUGGCCUCUCUGAGUCUUCUGUACUGAAUAAGUCAAAACUUUCAACAACGGAUCUCAGAUCGGAAGAGC
rnacentral:misc_RNA from 1 species